AACCUGUAAGUGCCUGCUUUUAAGUGUUUACGGUUUGCUUAGGCUUUUUGACAUUACAACCAUUAUAUAAAAGUUACUUUGGAAUAAUUCAGCACAUCUCAGAAGAUUAAAAAAUAUGACUUGUAGUCUGGAAAAUAUGGUAUAAAUUAUUUUGUGGACCCCUUUGCUUUGGUCCUGAACCCCAGAUUGAAAACCCUUGCAUUGUAGCAUAUUGUGUGUUUUUUUUCAUUAUUAUUAUUGUGCAUGCAGAUAAUAUUCGGGCACAUGAACACCUGACUAUUGCAUGAAUGAAGAAUACCAUCUUUAAGAAUUUUAUGCUAAUUGCAGUUGAAAUAAAAAUGAAAAAGCUUUAAAAGUUCAGCUCCAGCAGGUAAACAUAAUGUGUGGACCCAACUAAACUAAAUUGUUUGUUGUUAAUUGUUAUCCACUGUGUAAUGACUGAAAAUUAUUUUAUUUUCAUGUUUUUUGUGUGAACACACUGUUUCUUUAAGUUUAUUUACAAGUACAAAAAGAAAUUGCAUUGAAAUAAACAUGAGAUUUAAUUGAAUGCAGCCUAUAUGUCAUAAGGUCCUGGAACUGCAGUUGUUGCUAACGGCGCGAUAUGAGAAACACCUCCACAUGUGCUCAGCGGAGAUGUUGUGCGUUUAUGCAAAAUAUGCUGAAUUCCUUCCAAACGCCGUAGAAGGCCACUGCCUGCAUUACCCGCCGGGUGUUCUCCCCAGGGUUUGGACCUCCAACGAGGCUUAAAUGAUGUGUCUGCAAGAUGGAAUACAUUUUCUAAAUAGGAGAGGAGUUCAUUGGUGGUGCCACACACUUCAAGGCUCAUCUCCUCUGCUUGCUGGCAAGUCCCAUCACCCAGGGCACGAGCAUAAAGUUCAUGCAUGGCUGCUAUUGUGCUCCUCAUUGCCUUCAUCUCACUCUCUAUGCUUACUAUUUUUUGAAUGAGGAGGCUAAGGAGGUGAUCUGAGGAGAAUCAAUAUUGAUUCGUUAAAAUUAAGGACCUGGUUUAACCAGCAGUGGAGAGAGUCAUGAAGGAGAAUCACCAAAUAACACUGACAGCGAAGGGUGUCUCUGGGUGGAGUUGGCCUUAUUGGCACAUCAGGCAUGGGAAGCUCUCCACAUCUUGAUGGCAUCUUUAUUGAUUGAUUGAAGGUGGUUUGCUUGUUAGGUUCAUACCUUCAUAAGAGCUGCUGAGACACACCGGUCGUCUUUUCCUUUUGGGGGUGUCAUCACAGCUCUCAAGUGAAGAUUGCACAGCUGCUUUUUUCGACCACUUUUUUGCUCUUUCAUAGUCAUCUUAAGCAAAAAUAUGGCACCAAUCAAAAAUGACAUGCAUGGGUUGUCGAACAGUGGCUCAGGUUUACUGUAAACACGGCAAAGCACUCUUUGUUCCUUGUCAGCCACUUGCAGGACUUCACAGCAUUGACCACCACUGAGGACAUAUGCACUUGGGUCUUGGGUCUUUGUAGAGAUUUUGUCCACAGUUGUUGUUUUUUUCUGUUCGAUUUUCUCUUCCAGCCUCCUAGCAACCUGAAUCAGUGGGUUUCUACCAGAACGCACCAUCCUCUUGAGUGUUUGCAGGUAGUUUUCAAACAUGAAGGCACUACAAUUUUCCAGACCACCGAAGUUUUCGGCAUCUUUUGCUAUGUGCAGCAUGGCAUGUGUGUUGUAAACAAGGAACUCUUGUCCAUAAAGAAUCCGACCUUUUCCACAAAAUAAUGCAGCAGUUCAUCUGCAUAUUUCGAGUGUUCCUGCACAAGACUUGGACAUACCAAGAUUAUCAUGGCCACGCUAAAGGAAAGGAAGUGCAAAUACAUUUCAUCAGGCAGUAUUCCCUUCAACACAAUCUUCCCAGUGUAAAGAAGGAACUGACGAAACUCAGUCGCUUUCCACCUGUCCAGUUCCUCAAGACCUCUAGGCUUUCGCACAAAAGUAGAUGGGAUGCAUUUCCGAAGAGACCGCAGUCUUGCACUAAUCUCUGUGAUUUGGCUGGCUGAAACACUCACAACUCUGUCUCCUCUGGUCCAGAUGUGCAGGAGUCUUUUCAUUACACCUAGACAAGCCUGGUGCAUGUAAUCAAUGGGAAAACUCUGCACCAUGUCUAUGGGGAGGUGAGACAGAGUGAAUCCCAUGAUUCAUCAGAUGAGCCAGUUCCCUUACUGUGUCUUCCAAAAAGCCAAGAUCUGUUGGUCGACUUAGACUGCUUGUCAGAGCCGUGGGGAAAAUGGUGACAGGGUCUAACAUGACUGCACAAAGAACUGGCCACAUACAUGUUUUGGAACUCUUGUACAGUGGUGGCAGUACCAACGAUGUUUCGUCCAGCAUUAAAUUACUGCAGAAGAAGAAUACCGCCAACGUGACGCGGAUAUUAUAUCUUAAUGGAGGAAUAAACCUGAAACAGCACUUCCAAGAACUUCUUGAUUGUCGUUUAUGGAUUCCUCAUGAAAUUUGGGAUUGUCGGUUUGGAUGGACCAGGAGUUGGUGUCACUGGAAAAACUCUCAUGGUGGCCCGCUGAUGACUGAGGAUAGAUGUGCCUUGCUGCUUUUCGAAAAGGACUUCUGUCCUGAUGUUUGGCUGUGGUCCCCCCCAUCAUCCACUCUUUGGCAACAAGUCUUUGUAUGCAGACCACCAUGAUCUAAUCUAUACAGACCUAGUUGUCUCUUCUCCCACAAACUCCACUUUCAGGAGUACCUUUUACAAAGGUGUCACCAUGAGCUCCCGACCUCCUGACCUCUCCGUGGCUGAGCUGUAUUAGGACUUUGUCAGAACUACAUCUUUUUUGGUCACCACAAUCUGGAUGUGUUCAGUGAGGAUUCAUCGGUGGAUUUCACCUUUGGAAAAGUUUAGGCUGGGAGUGUGUUGUCAUACCAGCAGAAACAAGCUGCAUCAUUACUCACAUCAAGAUGUCCCAUCACCACCACAUCUACCACUUAUUGGUUACAGCCUUGGCACAUCUGUCUGCUUGUUUGUCCAUAGUGAACAUAGUUUUUUAUUUGUAUGUAACCAACACACUUGUACAGGAAAUCUUUAACACCUAAUUAAAGUACUUAUACAUGUUUA